UACACACCGCCCGUCACACCAUGGGAGCGGGUUCUGCCAGAAGUAGUUAGCCUAACCGCAAGGAGGGCGAUUACCACGGCAGGGUUCGUGACUGGGCGGGGUG
rnacentral:rRNA from 1 species